rnacentral:tRNA from 1 species
GGCAGUGGGUCUAGUGGCUAGGCCAAUUGACUGGGAGUCAAGAGAUUUGGGUUCUAGUCCCAGCUUUGCCA